AUUGAACGCUGGCGGCAGGCCUAACACAUGCAAGUCGAGCGGAUGAAGGGAGCUUGCUCUUGGAUUCAGCGGCGGACGGGUGAGUAAUGCCUAGGAAUCUGCCUGGUAGUGGGGGAUAACGUCCGGAAACGGGCGCUAAUACCGCAUACGUCCUGAGGGAGAAAGUGGGGGAUCUUCGGACCUCACGCUAUCAGAUGAGCCUAGGUCGGAUUAGCUAGUUGGUGGGGUAAAGGCCUACCAAGGCGACGAUCCGUAACUGGUCUGAGAGGAUGAUCAGUCACACUGGAACUGAGACACGGUCCAGACUCCUACGGGAGGCAGCAGUGGGGAAUAUUGGACAAUGGGCGAAAGCCUGAUCCAGCCAUGCCGCGUGUGUGAAGAAGGUCUUCGGAUUGUAAAGCACUUUAAGUUGGGAGGAAGGGCAGUAAGUUAAUACCUUGCUGUUUUGACGUUACCAACAGAAUAAGCACCGGCUAACUACGUG
rnacentral:rRNA from 1 species